CAACAAAACAGUACUAAAUAUAAAAUUAUAAAGCUUUCUACCUUUUGUAUCAGUACUAGAAACCAACGGCGGUGCGACCUCUUGGUUUAAUAAUUGAUGGUGUAGAUUUCACUUCGCCUUCAUCUUUUCCAGUCGAUUUAUCGCCUUGGCUAGCCAUAUUCUUUAAUUUAAACCUUCGACAGGCAUAGCCUCCUCCGCAAGCAAAUACAUGUGAAUAAUAUAUGCUUACUUACAGUGUAAAUAUUUUCACUAUUAAAAAUAAAAACAAAGUUUGUAUACAUGCAAAUUUGAAAUUUCAAAUUUCCGAAUUCUGAAUUUCUGAUUUCUGAAUUCUGAGCCGUCUCGCACAUGUCUCGAACUCGCGGGACCAGUGCGAAAUUUUCCUGCGUCCUGAUUGGGUGAUGGCCACGCAUGCGCUAGUUCACAAGUUCACCCAAGUGUCAAAUUAUCGCGCAUGCGUUCGUUUCAAACGUUUUGUAAACAGCGAGCUCAAGCGUCCCACAUGCACCACACCUGGCAACUACAACGUACUUAUGUACGGAACUGUUACUUCUAUUUGUGUGUGGUAGUUACCAAUCAUAGGAUCUUGCGAAAAGGGUGCCAGGCAUAAUGGUCUGGGGGCCGCCGGCACUCUCCCCCGUCUCUCUCCUCCGCAGAGGCUUUAGUUUUCUUAGGAUUUAAUAUUACGAUGAGAUACACUCAUACCUAAUUUUAAGAAUUUUUUAUCACUGCACAUUUUUGCGCAAAGUUUAGCCGAGCAGAAGCACGCCCUGAAAAUUUCUGAACACACACAAUGUGUAACUACUAUGCACAAAACAGGCUACAAUUGAUAUUAAAAAAUGCCAAAAACCAACAUACACUGCACAACACGCAGGGUUGCCCAGGGCCAAAUUUGACUUGGUGCCCCACAUGAUUCCAUCUUCUAACACUAUCACUAGGGGGGCCGGGGCAUUCUCCCCAGGAAAAUUUUAAAAUCUGAGGUCCCAGAAAUGGUCAAAUCCUGCAUUCUGGAAGUCUUUUGACAGUUAUAUCUAUGUAUAUUUUACAUAAUUCUUUAUUUCGGCCCUCCUUUAACUAAGACUCCAGGAAAAAUUGCCCCCUUUGACAGCACCUAUAGUUUCAACUAUCUGUGACGGCAUAGUUUCAUAAUCACAUACUUGCAAGAAAGAAAUAUUUUCGUAUUGGCAAAUGAGAGGCAGCUUAGACAGCUUAGGACUGACAAACCUCUAGAGGAGUUCCAAGGGCAUGCACCCACAGAAAAUUUUGUAAUCUAGGCUCUCUAAAAGGGGAUUUUAUGCAAUGUGCAAAGACAUUCUAUAGAAUUCUGAAGAUUACACACUAAUUACAAAAAGAUAAGUAUCAUUCACUUUAUCAUCCAGACUCAUAAAGGAACCUUUGGUGCGAGACUUUGUUCAUCUGAUAAACCUGAAGUAUAAUAUUAGUGCACGUUCGAUGAUUUGGCAGCUAUCAUUUCAAUUUCAUUCAAAUUGUUCUCAUUCAAAAUGUUUUGAUUAAUACUGUCAAGGAGUGUCAAGACGAAUUUUUAGCUCAGUUUUUCUGCUCAUUGCCUGGAUUUUCGUGUUAAUUGUUAACAACUUAUCACAGCAAAUUUUAUCACUGCACAUUUUACAUUUUAUCACAGCACAUUUUAGUUUUAUCACUGCACAAAUUGGUUAUCACUGCACACUAAAAUUAGGUAUGGAUACACUUCACUACACUUUACAUGGCGGAUCUUGGAACACGAGCGUAGCCGCUGGGCGAAGGAGCGCAGGCGGCAAAGGGAAAGGCGAUAAAGCCUCUGCGGAGGAGAGAGCUCCCCCGUCGUUCGUUCGAUACCGCUUGGUAAGCCACCUAUCCACUCGCCUCUCUGACUCGUCCCCAGUCGCUUACCUAACGCGCGUUGAAUUACCCAACGCGCGCUGAUUGAUGGGAAUGUUCCUUUGCGUUAGAAGCAGUGUUAGGGACUGUGGAAGAGUCAGCUCGCCUCUGACGAUAGCGUUGAGUUUAGCCGAAAUCUAGCUUAAACGUUAACAUACGGCGUUCUAGCGGUUAGCACGAGACGGACUUGACCGAUAUGAGUUAACAGAGUCGGGAAGUAUGGCCCAAUGAGGCACUUUUUCUUUUUGUUUACAACGGCAUAACUUACCCUUCGAUAUAAAACAGAUCUACUAAUUUACCGAUCAAUUGAAUUGCGACUAAAAAAGUUAGCAGUGUGUUUUGUGCUUUUAUCUAACUUAUAAAAAUGUAUUUUUA
rnacentral:lncRNA from 1 species